rnacentral:rRNA from 1 species
GAUGAACGCUAGCUACAGGCUUAACACAUGCAAGUCGAGGGGAAACGACAUCGAAAGCUUGCUUUUGAUGGGCGUCGACCGGCGCACGGGUGAGUAACGCGUAUCCAACCUGCCCAUCACUUGGGAAUAACCUUGCGAAAGUAAGACUAAUACCCAAUGACAUCCCACGAAGACAUCUGAAUGGGAUUAAAGAUUUAUCGGUGAUGGAUGGGGAUGCGUCUGAUUAGCUUGUUGGCGGGGUAACGGCCCACCAAGGCAACGAUCAGUAGGGGUUCUGAGAGGAAGGUCCCCCACAUUGGAACUGAGACACGGUCCAAACUCCUACGGGAGGCAGCAGUGAGGAAUAUUGGUCAAUGGGCGAGAGCCUGAACCAGCCAAGUAGCGUGCAGGAUGACGGCCCUAUGGGUUGUAAACUGCUUUUAUAAGGGAAUAAAGUGGGUCUCGUGAGACUUUUUGCACGUACCUUAUGAAUAAGGACCGGCUAAUUCCGUG